UCUAGAAUAGUUCAGUUGGUUAGAGCGUGUGGCUAUUAACCACAAGGUCGGAGGUUCAAGCCCUCCUUCUAGUG
rfam:Gossypium hirsutum cultivar TM-1 chromosome 1, whole genome shotgun sequence